AUAUGUGAAAUACCUAAAAGAUCCUUCUAUGUGUUUUUGACAGAUUGGCAAAAUGAGAUUUGUCAGUGUUCGUGAUUUUAAAGGGAAAGUCUUAAUUGAUAUUAGAGAGUACUGGAUGGAUCAAGAAGGUGAAAUGAAGCCAGGCAGAAAAGGUAUUUCUUUAAAUCCAGAACAGUGGAACCAGCUGAAGGAACAGAUUUCUGAUAUUGAUGAUGCAGUAAGAAAACUUUAAAGAUAGCCAUACAGAAAUCUUUAUCAUUUCAGUUGUUUUAAGCAGUCUUUUUACAUUGGGUUUUGUUUUUCUAAAAUAGUGUUUUCAAAGCUAUUGUAUAUUUGGUUUGCAAAACAAUUUGUAAGAGGAAUACUUUUUUAUGUGCAUUUAAAGUGUAUUCUGAGUGAGGCUAUUUGUGUAUACUUUACUGAAAGGAAAUGUGUUGCUUUCACCUCAUGGUGUAAAAUAAAUCAAGUAAUAUGUAAAGCAUAGUUGUUAUGGCCUUUUGAUUGAAGAUGUUUGCUGGUAAGACCACCUAUUGGCUUUAGGCUUUGUUUCAGUUCAGUUGUUUGUUUUCUAAGGAGAAUUUUUAAAAUGUCUUCAUUUAAAUUGUUUUUGUUUCAUACCCUUUGGUAUUGUCCUCAGCUUUCUGCAUUAAAACUUGAUACAAACAGUGAA